ACUUUUUUGGUUAAAAAAUUUACAAGGUUUCCGUUGGUGAACCAGCGGAGGGAUCAUUA
rnacentral:rRNA from 1 species